GAGCUUCCGCCGCCGUAGCCGCCGCCGAAACUUCCGCCGCCGCGUCCGCCGCCUCCGGAACUAAACGGGAUGGAGCUAACACCCAUUAUGGAGAUUAACCACUUUUCAUCAGGUUUUUAACUUAAGUCGUGAGGAAUACAACGGUGAACACAAGAUUCAUUUUAUUUUCAUCACCAUGGGACGUAUCCUGUUGUUGAGUUCUCUGGGUCAGACCUCUGAAGACUUCUCAGAUGGAUCCUAGUCUCUGGGCUUGCCCUGAAAUUACUCGCUGCUCAGGGAGAGAGUUGAAAUGGUUGGCAUCCUCCCACUCUGUUGCUCCGGCUGUGUCCCCUCGCUCUGUUGUUCCAGCUAUGUGCCCUCUGUUGCUCCAACUGCAGCUCAUUCUGUUAGAGUUCCUCAUUCAGCUGGUCACUGUGGCCAGAGGGUGUUGGCCUGCUCCCUUCCUCAAGUAUUCUUAAAGCCAUGGAUUUUUGUGGAGCAUUUUUCUUCCUGGCUCUCCCUUGAGUUAUUUUCCUUUCUUCGCUAUCUUGGGACUCUUCUUUGUGCUUGCGGUCAUCGGUUGAGAGAAGGACUUCUUCUUCCUUGUCUCCUUGGUGUUGGCUCGUGGUUGCUCUUCAACAACUGGACUGGAGGCUCUUGGUUUUCUCUUCAUCUUCAACAAGUCAGUCUCUCUCAAGGGUCUCACGUUGCAGCAUUCUUACCAGAGGCCAUUGGGCCUGGAGUUCCAGUUCCAGUGUCUGGAGAGUCCACCUCAGCUCAGCAAUCUCAUGCCGGUUGGCAAUUGUCAGCAGAAGCCGAUGCCUGCCCAUCAGUUCUUUACUCUGAGGUGUUAGAGUGGAAUAAAAAUAUAAAUACUUAUACUAGU
ensembl:lncRNA KRT10-AS1 KRT10 antisense RNA 1